UCAAACUUGGUCAUUUAGAGGAAGUAAAAGUCGUAACAAGGUUUCCGUAGGUGAACCUGCGGAAGGAUCAUUAUUGAAUAAAUCUGACUUGUUGUCGCUGGCUCUCCGGAGCAUGUGCACGCUUGUCACCUUUAUCUUUCCACCUGUGAACACACUGUAGUCCUGGAUACCUCUCGCCGCAAGGCGGAUGCGAAGUCUGCUUCGGCUUACUUCGAAUUUCCAGGUCUAUGAUUUUACAAACCCCAAUGAAUGUUACAGAAUGUUAUCAUCAGGCCUCGUGCCUAUAAAACUAUACAACUUUCAGCAACGGAUCUCUUGGCUCUCGCAUCGAUGAAGAACGCAGC
rnacentral:misc_RNA from 1 species